AGGACGACAGGCUCGUGGCAUCAUCCACCUCAGCAGGAUUCAUCUCGAGAAAGAGUCAUUUCACUUUCUUCUAGUUUGGGGGCAAGAGGGGACGCUAUGGAUGCUGGGACGAUUGCAGUCCUUCUAGCGACCAUGGCAUUUGACAUGUCCUUUGGUGGAUAUGUACUACGAAAUGAAAACCGAACAACCGUGAACGUGCCUCUUGUGAUGACCUUGGAGGAAGCUUUUGUGGAAGAGUUAAACAAUGGUAGCAGUGAACAACACAAAAGUCUUGAAGCACAAGUGGUAUCAAUGUGUGACUUCAUCUAUAUCAAAGAAUUUAGAAAUAAUUUCAUUAAAACCACCUUCAUUGGAUUUAGUCCAAAAAUGGGAAACACGCAAGUGGAAGUGGCACUGAAGUUCAGCAAUACAUCGUCUGAUCAACUCCCAAAAGACGAUGUAGUUGUAAACAUAUUGCUACAAGUUGUGAAUAGUACAAGCAACCCUUUCAAAUUCACUGUUGUUCGAGAAACGGCAAAAGUAAUUUCACCUGAAGAAUCAACAACUAGUGGACCGAUAACAACUUCGGUAAUCUCAAUUCCCUUAC